UGUAAACGAUGUCGAUUUGGAGUUUGUUGCCUAGAGUGAUGAGCUCCGAAGCUAACGCGAUAAAUCGACCGCUGGGGAGUACGGCCGCAAGGUUAAAACUCAAAUGAAUUGACGGGGGCCCGCACAAGCGGUGGAGCAUGUGGUUUAAUUCGAUGCAACGCGAAGAACCUUACCUGGUCUUGACAUCCAUAGAAUUCUGCAGAGAUGUGGGAGUGCCUUCGGGAACUAUGAGACAGGUGCUGCAUGGCUGUCGUCAGCUCGUGUUGUGAAAUGUUGGGUUAAGUCCCGCAACGAGCGCAACCCUUAUUCUUUGUUGCCAGCGAUUUGGUCGGGAACUCAAAGGAGACUGCCGUUGAUAAAGCGGAGGAAGGUGGGGACGACGUCAAGUCAUCAUGGCCCUUACGACCAGGGCUACACACGUGCUACAAUGGCGUAUACAAAGGGAAGCGAAGGUGCGGGCUGGAGCGGAUCUCAUAAAGUACGUCUAAGUUCGGAUUGGAGUCUGCAACUCGACUCCAUGAAGUCGGAAUCGCUAGUAAUCGUAGAUCAGAAUGCUACGGUGAAUACGUUCCCGGGCCUUGUACACACCGCCCGUCACACCAUGGGAGUGGGUUGCACCAGAAGUAGAUAGCUUAACCGCGAGGGGGGCGUUUACCACGGUGUGAUUCAUGACUGGGGUGAAGUCGUAACAAGGUAACCA
rnacentral:rRNA from 1 species